UACGUAGGGUGCAAGCGUUUAAUCGGAAUUACUGGGCGUAAAGCGUGCGCAGGCGGUUAUGCAAGACAGAUGUGAAAUCCCCGGGCUUAACCUGGGAACCGCAUUUGUGACUGCAUAGCUGGAGUACGGCAGAGGGGGAUGGAAUUCCGCGUGUAGCAGUGAAAUGCGUAGAUAUGCGGAGGAACACCGAUGGCGAAGGCAGUCCCCUGGGCCUGUACUGACGCUCAUGCACGAAAGCGUGGGGAGCAAACAGG
rnacentral:rRNA from 1 species